GACGAACGCUGGCGGCGUGCUUAACACAUGCAAGUCGAACGCUGAAGCUCAGCUUUUGUUGGGUGGAUGAGUGGCGAACGGGUGAGUAACACGUGAGUAACCUGCCCCCUUCUUUGGGAUAACGCCCGGAAACGGGUGCUAAUACUGGAUAUUCACUGGUCUUCGCAUGGGGGUUGGUGGAAAGGGUUUUUCUGGUGGGGGAUGGGCUCGCGGCCUAUCAGCUUGUUGGUGGGGUGAUGGCCUACCAAGGCUUUGACGGGUAGCCGGCCUGAGAGGGUGACCGGUCACAUUGGGACUGAGAUACGGCCCAGACUCCUAAGGGAGGCAGCAGUGGGGAAUAUUGCACAAUGGGCGCAAGCCUGAUGCAGCGACGCCGCGUGAGGGAUGGAGGCCUUCGGGUUGUGAACCUCUUUCGCUCAUGGUCAAGCCGCAACAAUGGUUGUGGUGAGGGUAGUGGGUAAAGAAGCGCCGGCUAACUACGUG
rnacentral:rRNA from 1 species